CUUCCCAACUGCUGUGUGUCUCAUCCAUCACCUCAUUGAAGAUGGUUGGUCAGCCAGGGAGACAAAGGGCAGGGAGAUCUGGAGCCUUCAAUAAAUCCUGCAGUGAGGUAAUCAGGAUGUUCCUAACUCCUGUCUCAUCCAUCACCUCAUUGAAGCUGGUUGGUCAGCCAGAGAGAGAGAGAGAGAUAGAGAGAGGGAGACCUGGAGCCUUCAGUCAAUCCUGCAGCCGGUACUCAGGAAAGUGCUGACUCCAUAGACUUCCCAAUUGCUGGGUGUCUCGUCCAACACCUCAUUGAAGUUGAUUGGUCAGCCAGAGAGACAAAGGGCAGAGAGAUCUGGAGCCUUCAAUAAAUCCUGCAGUGAGGUACUCAGGAAAGUCCUGACUCAAUAGCCUUCCCAGCUGCGGGGUGGAUUGUCCAUCACCACAUUGAACGCAGUUGGUCUGCCAGAGGGAGACAAAGGGCAGGGAGAUCUGGAGCCUUCAAUAAAUCCUGUA